CCUACGGGGGGCUGCAGUCGAGAAUCUUUCACAAUGGGGGCAACCCUGAUGGAGCGACGCCGCGUGGAGGAUAAGGUCUUCGGAUUGUAAACUCCUGUCAUGCGAGAACAAGGUUGCAGGGCUAACACCUUUGCAAAUUGAUGGUACCGCAAGAGGAAGAGACGGCUAACUCUGUGCCAGCAGCCGCGGUAAUACAGAGGUCUCAAGCCUUGGUCGGAAUCACUGGGCGUGGGCGGUGCGUGGGUGGCGUGAAGGCCCGGGGCUCAACCUCGGAAUGGCAUCCGAUACUGCAAUGCUGGAGUACUGAAGAGGUGACUAGAAGUCUAGGUGUAGCAGGGAAAUGCGUAGAUAUCUAGAGGAAUACCAACGGCGAAGGCAGGUCACUGGGCAGUUACUGACACUGAGGCACGAAGGCCAGGGGAGCAAACGGGAUUAGAUACCCCAGUAGUC
rnacentral:rRNA from 1 species